UGUACACGCUGUGACUAGCAUAUCAAUAAGCGGAGGAAAAGAAACUAACAAGGAUUCCCCUAGUAACGGCGAGUGAAGCGGGAAGAGCUCAAAUUUGAAAUCUUAAAGGGUUUCCCUUUACGAAUUGUAGUUUAAAGAAGUGUUUUCUGUUGAGGUUUUGGUAAAAGUUCUUUGGAAUAGGACAUCAUAGAGGGUGAGAAUCCCGUAUUUGACCUUUACUUUCAACUUUGUGAUACACCUUCAAAGAGUCGGAUUGUUUGGGAAUGCAGUCCAAAAUGGGUGGUAAAUUUCAUCUAAAGCUAAAUAUUGGCGAGAGACCGAUAGCGAACAAGUACCGUGAGGGAAAGAUGAAAAGAACUUUGAAAAGAGAGUUAAACAGUACGUGAAAUUGUCAAAAGGGAAGCGUUUGACACCAGUGUUGUUUUUCUGAAAAUCAAUUAAAGAACUGUUUAUGCUAAGCUGUUUAGACUUUAUCAGCUAUCUGUUUAGUUUUGAGCUUUUCUUUAAUGCACUUUUCAGUUAACAAGUCAACAUCAAUUUCUUUUGCUGUAAAAAAGCUUGAGGAAGGUGGCUUGAGAUUCGUCUUAAGUGUUUAUAGCCUCUUGCCUAUGCAGUCGGAGAGAUUGAGGUCUGCAGCGUAGAUCCUUCGGGGCUAAAUGCAUUUGUGCUAAGUUAUAGCAUUUCAUAGACAACUUGUUGACUAUGAUUUGUCUUGUAGCUUACUCGCUUAUGUUAUUUUACCUACGCUUAGGAUGUUGACGCGCGUGUGUGCGUG
rnacentral:rRNA from 1 species